rnacentral:lncRNA from 1 species
AUGUGGGCACCGUCACGGGCCUGCUCCUGGGCCUGGCGCUUGUUUCUGCUCUGUCUCCUGCAGCUUCGUGCGAGGCUGGAGCCGCAGCAAGAGCCCAGCCCACCCCUUGCCUUUGUCUGUGGGCCUGGGUCCGGCAGCGGGGUUGCCUCAGAGAUCCGAACGCAGACCCAUGGAGCUUCCCCCAGAGCCCGUGGGCCUUGGCCCCAGCCCUGCUCACGGCCCUCUGAGAUGACCCCCUUCCGGUCUGCAGAGACACUGACAGUGCUGCUGAGGCCCGGGCCGUCCACCAUCACCCUGCGCUGGGCAGAGGGUGUGGGGCGUGGGCUCCCAGGCCGUCUCGGCCCCAAGUCCACACCUUGUCUCACUUGGGGCCUGACUUCUUUUCUCUCCAGCUUUGGCAUUUGGCAGUGGGGCUGUGCUGAAGGAGGAAGGGCCCUCAGAGUCUGUUUCGGAGCCUUCGACCAGCAGCGCAACCUUUUGCAGACAUCGGAGGCGGGACACACAUGCAAACAUCCUGGGGGAAGAGACUCGGUGGACAAGGGCCUGAAGACCCACCCCCACCUUGCAGAGUCAGCCUGCCCCAAGCCAGACCAGGAGGCUGUCGCAAAUGUACACAUUUCCAGGAGCUGGGAGACACCAAGGGAGUCACACAGCGAUGCGCUCGGCAGACAUGAGGUGCGAGAGCGUGGUGGGCAGGACCCGCUUGUCUCGCCAGCCUCCCGGGGAUGCGACACCCUCGCUGGACCCCACAGGUCCGCUGGGAGCAGAAGCAAGCUCCUACGUGGAUGAGCAGUGCCUGGCUCGCAGCAAGGGGUCCCUGCGUGGUCCUGUUAGAGUGGACACCAGCGUUCGGGACCUCACAGUCCAUCAGGAAACAGGUAGAGAGGCCACGACUUGUCUCCUCACCAUGGGCCUGAGUGUGACUCAGGACCUCUCCGCGGAGGGCGCCCCAGCAGUAUCUCUCAAAACCAGGCCAGAGAGAGCCCUCGCCCACCCAGAGCCGGCGCUCCUGGGACCCCGUGCCGAGGGGCUCCACCACAGCUCUUUACUGCCCCAACAGUGUCCUUUCAAACAGACAGCAAAGUUUCAACGGUUGCACAAGAACAAGACAAGCGCCCAUCUGGUGCACCCACCCAAGGGGCAGAUGACCCUGAACACCCAGGAGGAUGAAUAA